CCCAAGUUUCUCUCGUAUAUCGUCAUUCCGUACCCGAUCCUUCCUUGUGUGGCCACAUAUCCAUCUCAACAUGCGCAUCUCUGCUACACCUAACUGUUGGAUAUGUCGUCUCUUGGUUGGCCAACACUCCGCACCAUACAACAUCGCAGGUCGGAUAGCUGUCCUAUAAAACCUGCCUUUUAGCUUUUGUGGCACUCUCUUGUCACAGAGUAUGCGAGAAGCUUGGCGCCUC
rnacentral:lncRNA from 1 species